rnacentral:rRNA from 1 species
UACGUAGGUGGCAAGCGUUGUCCGGAAUUAUUGGGCGUAAAGCGCGCGCAGGCGGUCCUUUAAGUCUGAUGUGAAAGCCCACGGCUCAACCGUGGAGGGUCAUUGGAAACUGGGGGACUUGAGUGCAGAAGAGGAAAGCGGAAUUCCACGUGUAGCGGUGAAAUGCGUAGAGAUGUGGAGAAACACCAGUGGCGAAGGCGGCUUUUUGGUCUGUAACUGACGCUGAGGCGCGAAAGCGUGGGGAGCAAACAGG